UCCGAGUUGACCCCGGCAGUCUCCCAUGAGUCCCCACCAUCACGUGCUGGCAACAUGGAACGAGGGUUGCGCUCGUUGCGGGACUUAACCCAACAUCUCACGACACGAGCUGACGACAACCAUGCACCACCUGUAUACCGACCACAAGGGGGGCACUAUCUCUAAUGCUUUCCGGUAUAUGUCAAGCCUUGGUAAGGUUCUUCGCGUUGCGUCGAAUUAAGCCACAUGCUCCACCGCUUGUGCAGGCCCCCGUCAAUUUCUUUGAGUUUUAGCCUUGCGACCGUACUCCCCAGGCGGGGAACUUAAUGCGUUAGCUGCGACACGGAGACCGUGGAAUGGCCCCCACAUCUAGUUCCCAACGUUUACGGCAUGGACUAC
rnacentral:misc_RNA from 1 species